rnacentral:rRNA from 1 species
UACGGAGGGUGCAAGCGUUAUCCGGAUUCACUGGGUUUAAAGGGUGCGUAGGUGGUCUGUUAAGUCAGCGGUGAAAGCCUGGAGCUCAACUCCAGAAUUGCCAUUGAUACUGACGGACUUGAAUCAAGUUGAGGUGGAUGGAAUAUUACAUGUAGCGGUGAAAAUGCUUAGAUAUGUAAUAGAACACCAAUUGCGAAGGCAGUUCACUAAGCUUGCAUUGACACUGAGGCACGAAAGCUGGGGAUCAAACAGG